rnacentral:rRNA from 1 species
UACGUAGGGACCGAGCGUUGUCCGGAAUCAUUGGGCGUAAAGAGCGUGUAGGCGGCCACUUAAGUCCUGCGUGAAAUCUUGCGGCUCAACCGCAAGCGGUCGUGGGAAACUGGGUGGCUAGAGUGCGGGAGAGGAGAGUGGAAUUCCUGGUGUAGCGGUGAAAUGCGCAGAUAUCAGGAGGAACACCAGCGGCGAAGGCGGCGCUCUGGGCCGGUACUGACGCUGAGGCGCGAAAGCGUGGGGAGCGAACAGG